GCAUUCCUGCCUUGUUCGAUUUGUUGCGGCUUGAUAUAAUCCUACUAAUCAAAUCAAGGGAGCCCGGCGGUUGCCCGGCAGAUUGCAGACCUCCCGCCCCGCGCAUGCGCGGGCAAGGCGGACGAAGGGAGCGAGAAACCGGGCACAGGGCACCCACCUGCCACCCGGUAGGUUUUGAUUGGCCGCAGACGGCAAGGCGGGGCCUUU
rnacentral:other from 1 species